rnacentral:rRNA from 1 species
UACGUAGGGUGCAAGCGUUAAUCGGAAUUACUGGGCGUAAAGCGUGCGCAGGCGGUUGUGCAAGACAGAUGUGAAAUCCCCGGGCUUAACCUGGGAAUGGCAUUUGUGACUGCACGGCUAGAGUGUGUCAGAGGGGGGAAGAAUUCCACGUGUAGCAGUGAAAUGCGUAGAGAUGUGGAGGAAUACCGAUGGCGAAGGCAGCCCCCUGGGAUAACACUGACGCUCAUGCACGAAAGCGUGGGGAGCAAACAGG